AUUGAACGCUGGCGGCAGGUCUAACACAUGCAAGUCGAGCGGAGCGGCGGACGGGUGAGUAAUGCCUAGGAAUCUGCCUGGUAGUGGGGGAUAACGUCCGGAAACGGGCGCUAAUACCGCAUACUAUCAGAUGAGCCUAGGUCGGAUUAGCGAGUUGGUGGGGUAAAGGCCUACCAAGGCGACGAUCCGUAACUGGUCUGAGAGGAUGAUCAGUCACACUGGAACGGCGACACGGGCCAGAUUCCUACGGGAGGCCGCAGUGGGGAUUAUUGGACAAUGGGAGAAAGCCAGAUCCAGCCAGGCGGAGUGUGUGAAGAAGGUCUUCGGAUUGUAAAGCACUUUAAAUUAGGAGGCGUUGCCAACAGAUUAAGCACCGGCUAACUUCGUGCCAGCAGCCGCGGUAAUAC
rnacentral:rRNA from 1 species